UGGGGGAUAUUGCACAAUGGGGGGAACCCUGAUGCAGCGACGCCGCGUGGAGGAAGAAGUAUCUCGGUAUGUAAACUCCUAUCAGCAGGGAAGAAGACAGACGGUACCUGACUAAGAAGCCCCGGCUAACUACGUGCCAGCAGCCGCGGUAAUACGUAGGGGGCGAGCGUUAUCCGGAUUUACUGGGUGUAAAGGGAGCGUAGACGGCCAUGCAAGCUCGGUGUGAAAGGUGCGGGCAUAACCCGCAGACUGCACUGAGAACUGUAUGGCUGGAGUGCUGGAGGGGCAGGCGGAAUUCCUGGUGUAGCGGUGAAAUGCGUAGAUAUCAGGAGGAACACCGGUGGCGAAGGCGGCCUGCUGGACAGCGACUGACGUUGAGGCUCGAGAGCGUGGGGAGCGAACAGG
rnacentral:rRNA from 1 species